rnacentral:rRNA from 1 species
AGUGAACGCUGGCGGCAUGCCUAACACAUGCAAGUCGAACGGCAGCACGGUAAGUUUUCGCUUCUAACGGUGGCGGCGGGCGGGUGAGUGACACCUGCAUAGGUCUCCUAUUUGUCGUGGGUGAUUACGGAGGACAAGUUCUACUACUACCGAAUAUAUUGUACCGGUGGGUGCACUGGUGCCCGCGCGCUUUGCUGUUAGCUGUAGCUGAAGUCGGAUUAGCUAGUUGGUGGGGUAAAGGCCCACCAAGGCGACGAUCCGUAGCUGGUCUGAGAGGAUGAUCAGCCACACUGGAACUGAGACACGGUCCAGACUCCUACGGGAGGCAGCAGUGGGGAAUAUUGGACAAUGGGCGAAAGCCUGAUCCAGCAAUGCCGCGUGGGUGAAGAAGGCCUUCGGGUUGUAAAGCCCUUUUGUUAGGAAAGAAAAACUGCGGGAUAAUACCGUCCUGUGCUGACGGUACCGAAAGAAUAAGCACCGGCUAACUACGUG